ACACUCCUGCGGGAGGCAGCAGUGGGGAAUAUUGGACAAUGGGCGCAAGCCUGAUCCAGCCAUGCCGCGUGAGUGAUGAAGGCCCUAGGGUUGUAAAGCUCUUUCACCGGAGAAGAUAAUGACGGUAUCCGGAGAAGAAGCCCCGGCUAACUUCGUGCCAGCAGCCGCGGUAAUACGAAGGGGGCUAGCGUUGUUCGGAAUUACUGGGCGUAAAGCGCACGUAGGCGGAUCGAUCAGUCAGGGGUGAAAUCCCAGGGCUCAACCCUGGAACUGCCUUUGAUACUGUCGAUCUGGAGUAUGGAAGAGGUGAGUGGAAUUCCGAGUGUAGAGGUGAAAUUCGUAGAUAUUCGGAGGAACACCAGUGGCGAAGGCGGCUCACUGGUCCAUUACUGACGCUGAGGUGCGAAAGCGUGGGGAGCAAACAGGAUUAGAUACCCCUGUAGUCCCA
rnacentral:rRNA from 1 species